UUUCUAUAUCAGGUGCGUCUAAAUAUGGAGCACCUGUGCAUCCCGUGAAGCAGAGCCAGUGGACUGAGAGGAGACGUCCAGGAAUAGAUCGGCCUGUGGAGGAAGGCUUCCGUUGGCAAGCCUGAACCCCUUCGCUUUCACAAGCCGAUGCCAGAAUCAGUACGGCAGGUCAUUUGCAUGUCCGGAUCCGAGUGUUGAGAUCCGUGCGAGACAUCACAGUCUCUUGCAUCAUCCGUCGGCGAGGAGCGGCGCAGUCACACUAGAAGAAAGUCAUACGAGGUUGGAACGAUACGAGGGACGCGUCACAUGACUCCGGUGAUGUUGAGGAAUGUGCAGAUGUCAGUGCUCUUGUAUUUCUGUCUGAAUUCAGCGCUUGAUGAGGUCAGAGGUCAUGUGAGUAACUGAACUCAAAACCCAUCAUGGAAAAUGUCUCGGAGGUUUAAAGUGUUUUACAUGCGUGUGAAUGAGAGAGACGGUUGUGACACUCGUCAGACGGGACGAGCUUGUUGAGCGAUUGACUGAUAGCUUGCAGAUUUAAUUAUAUUUUAAUAUAUUCCAUAUAUAUAUAUAUAUGUAUAUGUAUCUUCUGUAACAUUAUAAAUGUCUUUACUGUCACUUUUGAUCUAUGUAAUGCGUCCUUGAUUAAUAAAGGUUGUUGUUUUGUUACUCAACAUUGAUAAUAAUCAUAAAUGUUUCUUGAUCAUCAAAUCAUCAUAUCAGAAUGAUUUCUGAAGGAUCAUGUGACACUGAAGACUGGAGUAAUGAUGCUGAAAAUUCAGCUUUGAUCACAGGAUAUAAAUUAUAUUUUACUAAAUAUUCAUACAAAUUUACAUUGUAAUAAUAUUUCACUGUUUUACUGUAUUUUUGAUCAAUUAAAUGCAGCUUUGAAGAGACUCUUUCAGAAACAUAAACAAAUAUUAAUUAAUCCAAACUUUGAAAGGUAGUAUAAAUAUAUAUAUAUAUGUAUAUAGUGUUGUCUGAAACCUUAAACAGGAAUAAACCUGUCCUAAAUCUGUUCCCAAUCCUGAAUAUUAAAUAUAUCCGGACGUUUCUGUCAUCUGAAGCCUCUGAUAAAUCAUUCAUUGAUCAUUAAAGUCACUUUGAUUUAUUGAUAUUUUAUGGAAUGGCAGGACUGCGUCAUGUGACGUGACGGCGGCGGCUUCAUCUGCAGGAUUAGGUGACAGACCGCGGCUCAUGAAGGCGAUCGGGGCGGGAGGCUAAUUAAUGCUGGUGAAUAUUUCAAAGCUUGAAUAAAUUAACAUUUUGUGUAAAGUUAAAAUAAGGUAAAGUAAAAGCAUCAUGGUGGGAGUUUUUCUAAUGACUGUAGCAGGUGGUGUUCGCUGGAAUGUGUGUGUGUGUGUGUGUGUGUGGUAAUGAACAGAAAUGUUUUUAUUAGUUUUACUUUAGUUGUGUAGCCUUGGCCCACAAACGUUAAGUGCUCGUUUCAAACACGGGCUUCAGAAGCAGUUUGUUGAGUUCUCGUUCUUCUAGUUGCACAGAUGAUCGUCGGAUCGACACGUUCGCGUUUCUCUCGCCAUUAGCGACUUGUCACGGCAGAUUGAAUUCUGCAAACAUCAGAGAUUCAGAGCCGCUUCCAAAUGACAGUGUUUGAAUGUUCCUGCAGGCAGUAACCAAAGCAGAGACAGAAACACCAGAGAGAGCCAAAGACUCACACACACACACACACACACACACAACACACAAACAACACAAUAAUCACCA